UCCUAUAAGUAUUUCCUCUCACACACAUUAGGUAAUAUUAAACUACACAUAAAAUCUAAGUUUAACUCAAAUGAACCCAUACUAAAUUUCAUCAUAUAUUACUUAGAUCCAUUUUAAUAGGAAUUAAUUACCUUAAACUAAUAUUGUUUAUAAAAGGUUGUAUAAAUAUUAGUGAUUAAUCGGAAAUAAAAAGAAAAAGAGGUAAAAAAAUCAAUUAGGCAAGCCGUUUAAAAGAAAGAAAAUUAAAGAAUUCAUUAUAUUACAUGAAGAUAGAAAUGUGUAUAAUAAUUAAUUAACACCCAUAGACCAUAGUCUUAUUCUUCUAAGCCAAGCUAAGCUAAGCUAAUGUAAUGACUAAUGAUUAACAAUGAAAUACAACUCUCGGAUUCAUCAGAAGCAGGCGUCCAACACACAGCAACAACAUAGGGCCGCACAACUGCAAAAACAAAUAAAUUCUAUAUCAACUUCUUUAAUUUUUUAAAAAAUAUAUUUUACAAGAGAAGAGCAUUUCUAUUUCAUUUUUAAACAAAGUAUGAAAAGGGUAUGUAAACACUGAGGGACUUGAACUACAGUAAAAAGAUUCUUCAAUUUUAAUUAAGGUCUCGAAAUUAUUUAUCAGACUAAAAUAGAAAAGUUUUUAAAAUAAUUUUAAAUUAGUUACCAAAAUUCGAGAUCAUAAGUAUUAUGGGAUCUUCUGCAAUUAAUGAAAUUUAAAUUGGAAAUCAGGGAAGAGAGGGAGAGGGGAAAAUUAAUUACCAUCCUUUCCAGAAGCCAUCGCCCUUAGAUUUAGUUUUCAAAGGAACAGGGUGUUGGGUGUGCGUAUCACCAUCUUUGGUUGGGUAACCAGCCGGUGGUGGCGCUGCAUAUGCAUCAGCUGCUGGAGGGUAUGCUGCUGCCAAUUCAACAGUAUCCCAAAAAAAAAGAAAAACCAAAAGAGAAGGUAAAAAUAUUAAGAAUUUUCUGAAAAAUCAUAUCAUGUAUAUUAUUAAUAAUCAUGUAUUAAACAUAUAUUUCUGAAAUUCAAUAAACAAAUUCAGAUAACACAUGGAAUAGAGUAUAUAUACCAGUGGCUUGAUUUUGACUCAUCUUGAUUUGGAAGAAAGGCUCUUGAGAAUAUCACCGAGGAGGAAGAAGAAGGGGAUGAGAUGGGAGUUUGCGAGGUGUAAGCAGGAAAUAUAAAUACGGAAGAAAGGCGAAGGGUUGCUUAGUAGAGGAGGCUAAGCGAGGGCGGCGACACCGCGUGGGAAGGAUUUAAUUACUAUAUAUGUGGAUUACAUUAGGACGACAACUACAAGAAGGAAGAAGAUGAGUAGCUAUUUUCAAUAUAUUAAAGUCUUGUCAGUUCACCUAAUCUUUCUAUAUAAUAUUGCAAACUAAUUAUGGGUGUAUCCAUCAACUUAAAAAAAAGAUAAAUUAGAGUUUAUUCUUUCUAAUUUAACGAGAGUAAUCUUUUAUCUCUUUAAAAUUACAAUUUAAUCAUUAUAUUUUAAAAAUUAUCAGAUUGGCCCCUGCUAUUAAUAUUUCAGUUAAACUCACCCUUAGUCUUGAUUUUUUUAAGUUGGUCAAAAGAAUUACAGUACCUUUUAUAUAAGUGGAAGAAGGAUUUUUCCCUCUAUCUUCCUCAGUUACUACUCUCUCCCUAUGAAUCUGAAUCAAUCAUCAACUACUUCACAUCACUAACUGAGUCAUAACCUCUUAUUCAAGCCUUACUUAGCUUAUUUGUUGUGCGGAUAAUGGAUUUGGGUUUUCGAAGAGGAACAGCGAAAGAAGAAGA
rnacentral:lncRNA from 1 species